GCUGGGCGUGGUGGUGCAAGCCUGUAGUCCCAGCUACUUGGGAGGCUGAGGCAGGAGAAUCACUUGAACCCAGGAGGUAGGGGUUGCAGUGAGCUGAGAUCAUGCCACUGCACUUCCAGCCUGGGCUACAGAGCGAGACUCUGUCUCAA
rfam:Pan troglodytes isolate Yerkes chimp pedigree #C0471 (Clint) chromosome 19, whole genome shotgun sequence.